CUGCUGUUCAUGGAGUCAUUUGAGUUGUCUUUGCAGACAAGGCACCACUUGAACUCCGUGCCUUCAUAAACAUCCAACAUCUCGUCGCCGUCGUCCAUGCUGACCAUCAUCUUGUCAUUCUCGUCCAUGCUGCUUACGCGCAGGCGCUGCUGGAUGUCGGUGUUCAUGCGCGUGGCGAGGUAGCCAAAGCCGGAGAAGAGCAGCUCGCGCACCUCAGGUGGCACCACCUCGUUCACCACGCUGCGCACCAGCAUCAUGGACGCGGCGACGGACGCUGCGGUGGUGAGGGCCUUCUUGUAGGACUCGAAGGCCUUGUCGUAGGACGCCAUGGUGGAAAUCAACAAGAUCAUGGAGCACAACAUCAGCGUCGUCAUUCCUCAUCAGAACCUCAGCAACCUCUGCGGGUGUCACCAUCACCUCCUUGAUCAGUUUCUCAAUCUCUGGAUAUGUGUCAUGGUACUCGACGGAGUGGUAGUUGUUGGCAAGGAUUCGGAAAGACUCUGGGGUGCAAUACCCCAUGUGGAUGUGCAUGUCCAUCCUUCCAGGCCGCAGCAGUGCCGGGUCGAGCCGCUCCUUGUAAUUGGUUGUGAAGACGAUGAUCCUUUCCUCCCCACUUGUUGACCACAGCCCAUCAACAAAAUUGAGCAGUCCAGACAGCGUCACCUGUUCAGAAAAUCCAAAAUUCUUGUUGGGACAAGUGAAGAAGUGGUGGGAUCGAGAAGAUACAGGGUUUGUACAUUGAAAGUAGUACUCACCUUGCCUUCCCUCUUGUUUUGUUCUGUAGAAUUUGACUCGUCGUGUGCUUCACCUUCCUCCCGCUGUUUCAGUUCGAUGGUGCAGUCAAUAUCUUCGAUCACGAGAAUGGAUCGGUUGCCCAGGCCAACAAGAAGCCUCCUGAGGUCUGAGUUGGACGUGACCGCAGUUAGCUCGAGGUCAUAUAUGUCAAACCUGAGAUGGUUGGCCAUGGCCGCGAUUAGGCUCGACUUCCCAGUCCCAGGUGGACCAUACAGCAGCUUGUGGUCCAUGGCAAGCGUGUCAAAUGUAGAUGGGUGGUGGAGGUCAAUCGGGGACCAAUCGUCGUAUUCAGUCAUGUAUAUCAUGAGAGUUCUCUCCUGGGCUUUAAUGGCCUUGGCUGUCGCCAAAAUGAAUGGGAGGUAUGAUUUGAGGGCUUUGUCCUUGUGCUUCUUGUUGAAGGUCAACUCGAAGAACUGGGACUCGUUCUGACUGCCGUUGAGGGAGUCAUUUGAGUUCUCUUUACAGACAAGGCACCACUUGAACUCCGUGCCUUCAUAAACAUCCAGCAUCUCGUCGCCCUCAUCCAUGCUGACCAUCAUCUUGUCGUUCUCGUCCAUGCUGCUGACACGCAGGCGCUGCUGGAUGUCGGUGUUCAUGCGCGUGGCGAGGUAGCCAAAGCCAGAGAAGAGCAGAUCUCGCAGCUCGGGUGGCACCACAUCGUUCACCACGCUGCGCACCAGCAUCAUGGACGCGGCGACGGACGCCGCUGUGGUGAGGGCCUUCUUGUAGGACUCGAAGGCCUUGUCGUAGGACGCCAUGGUGAGUGCUGUGCGCCUCAAGUUUCCUCACUGGACUGGAAUGGAAACUGGGAGUGCCAGGAAGCUUCUGCCGUCGAUGAGGUCAGGUCCAGGUCUCCGCUUGUUGAUUCCCACUACCAGAUAUAUCCAGGGGGCGUGUGCUGGAAUGGUAAUCGGCAAUCGCACGCGUUCCGUGCCGGGCUCCGAUCCUGACGUGGUUGGUCGACGACUCGACGUCAACGAGAUGGCGCCAUCAGAUGAGAUCACUGUGUGGGAUCGCUAUAUGCUACAGGCUGGAAAGCGAGCGGCCAGUACACAUGCACUUGAAAUUGAUUAUUUUCAUAGGAAUUCUUUAGGCCUUGUUUAGUUGCAAAGCAUUUAGCAAAUGAGGACGGUAGCAUUUUCGUUUGUAUUUAACAAAUAUUAUCCAAUCAUGGACUAAUUAGGCUCAAAAGAUUCGUCUCGUAAAUUACAGGUAAACCGCGCAAUUAGUUAUUUCUUUUAUCUAUAUUUAAUGCUUCAUGCAUGUGCCGUAAGAUUUGAUGUGAUGAGGAAUGUAAAAAAUUUUGUAAUUUUUUUUAGAACUAAACAAGGCUCUAGUUUGAGUUUGCACUGUCAACAAAUAAA